UACAGAGGGUGCGAGCGUUAAUCGGAAUUACUGGGCGUAAAGCGUGCGUAGACGGUUAUGUAAGUCGGGUGUGAAAGCCCCGGGCUCAACCUGGGAAUUGCAUUCGAGACUGUGUAGCUAGGGUACGGAAGAGGGAAGCGGAAUUUCAGGUGUAGCGGUGAAAUGCGUAGAUAUCUGAAGGAACACCAGUGGCGAAAAGCGGCUUCCUGGUCCAGUACCGACGUCAGGCACGAAGCGUGGGGAGCAAACAGGG
rnacentral:rRNA from 1 species